rnacentral:rRNA from 1 species
CCUACGGGAGGCAGCAGUGGGGAAUAUUGGGCAAUGGGCGCAAGCCUGACCCAGCAACGCCGCGUGAAGGAAGAAGGCUUUCGGGUUGUAAACUUCUUUUAAGAGGGAAGAGCAGAAGACGGUACCUCUUGAAUAAGCCACGGCUAACUACGUGCCAGCAGCCGCGGUAAUACGUAGGUGGCAAGCGUUGUCCGGAUUUACUGGGGGUAAAGGGCGUGCAGCCGGGAAGACAAGUCAGAUGUGAAAUCCCGCGGCUCAACCGGGGAACUGCAUUUGAAACUGUUUUUCUUGAGUACCGGAGAGGUCAUCGGAAUUCCUUGUGUAGCAGUGAAAUGCGUAGAUAUAAGGAAGAACACCAGUGGCGAAGGCGGAUGACUGGACGGCAACUGACGGUGAGGCGCGAAAGCGUGGGGAGCAAACAGGAUUAGAUACCCUGGUAGUC